rnacentral:rRNA from 1 species
GGUCUGCUGUGUAGUGUAAUUGUUAAGUUUGGAACUGCGAAUGGCUCAUUAUAUCAGUUAUAGUUUAUUUGGUGAAGUGUACUACUUGGAUAACCGUAGUAAUUCUAGGGCUAAUACAUGAGAAAGUCCUCUGGUGAGGUGUGUUUAUUAGAAUGAAAACCAUAUGCUUCGGCAUGAUAGUGAGUAAUAGUAACCUAUCGUAUCGCAUGCUUAAUGUAGCGAUGAGUCUUUCAAGUUUCUGCCCUAUCAGCUUUCGAUGGUAGUAUAUGGGCCUACCAUGGCAGUAACGGUAAACGAAGAAC